UGCCAGCAGCCGCGGUAAUACGAAGGGAGCGAGCGUUGUCCGGAAUUACUGGGCGUAAAGAGCAUGUAGGCGGUUCAAUCAGUUGGGUGUGAAAUCCCGGGGCUCAACCCCGGAACUGCAUCCAAUACUGUGGAACUAGAGACCGAGAGAGGAAAGUGGAAUUACGAGUGUAGAGGUGAAAUUCGUAGAUAUUCGUAGGAACACCAGAGGCGAAGGCGGCUUUCUGGCUCGGUACUGACGCUCAGAUGCGAAAGCGUGGGUAGCAAACAGGAUUAGAUA
rnacentral:rRNA from 1 species